UGAUUGGCUCUGAUUGGAAGAAUAGUGGAUAGACCUCGAGGCAGCUUGCUUUGAGCUCUACCCACUAUCCUUCCAUCAGAGCCAAUCU
rnacentral:pre_miRNA from 1 species